CAGUCGCCACGGGAAUACGUAGGGUGCAAGCGUUAAUCGGAAUUACUGGGCGUAAAGCGUGCGCAGGCGGUUUUGUAAGACAGAGGUGAAAUCCCCGGGCUCAACCUGGGAACUGCCUUUGUGACUGCAAGGCUAGAGUACGGCAGAGGGGGAUGGAAUUCCGCGUGUAGCAGUGAAAUGCGUAGAUAUGCGGAGGAACACCGAUGGCGAAGGCAAUCCCCUGGGCCUGUACUGACGCUCAUGCACGAAAGCGUGGGGAGCAAACAGGAUUAGAUACCCGCGUAGUCCCUGUCUCUUAUAC
rnacentral:rRNA from 1 species